rnacentral:rRNA from 1 species
GACGAACGCUGGCGGCGUGCCUAAUACAUGCAAGUUGAGCGCUGAAGGUUGGUACUUGUACCAACUGGAUGAGCAGCGAACGGGUGAGUAACGCGUGGGGAAUCCGCCUUUGAGCGGGGGACAACAUUUGGAAACGAAUGCUAAUACCGCAUAAAAACUUUAAACACAAGUUUUAAGUUUGAAAGAUGCAAUUGCAUCACUCAAAGAUGAUCCCGCGUUGUAUUAGCUAGUUGGUGAGGUAAAGGCUCACCAAGGCGAUGAUACAUAGCCGACCUGAGAGGGUGAUCGGCCACAUUGGGACUGAGACACGGCCCAAACGCCUACGGGAGGCAGCAGUAGGGAAGCUUCGGCAAUGGACGAAAGUCUGACCGAGCAACGCCGCGUGAGUGAAGAAGGGUGUCGGAUCGUAAAACUCGGUUGGUAGAGAAGAACGUUGGUGAGAGUGGAAAGCUCAUCAAGUGACGGUAACUACCCAGAAAGGGACGGCUAACUACGUG